GUGUGUGUGUGUGUGUGUGUGUGUGUGUGUGUGUGUGUGUGUGUGUUUGUGUGUGCAGUAAAAGUGUGCUGGUUUGGAUUUUACCAGUGGCUCUAAUCCGGAGCGUCCUAUCCUGUAGAAAACAUUGAACAUAAAAAGACAGUGACAAGCAGUAACGGAAAGUACAUAAAGAAUAAAGGCAAUUUCAUUCAAGUAAACAAACAAUUCCGUCAAGUUUGAUACAUUUGGCCCGAAA